AGUGAACGCUGGCGGCGUGCUUAACACAUGCAAGUCGGACGAGAACGGAUUAUAGCUUGCUAUAAUUGUCAGCUAAGUGGCGCACGGGUGAGUAAUGUAUAGGUAAUAUGCCUCUUACUAUGGGAUGACAAAUGGAAACGUUUGCUAAUACCUUAUACUCCUUAUGAACAUUAGUUAAUAAGGGAAAGACUUAAUGGUAAGAGAUUAGCCUGUAUUGUAUCAGUUAGUUGGUGGGGUAAUGGUUUACAAAGACUAUGACUCAUAACUGGUUUGAGAGGAUAAUCAGUCAAAAUGGAACUGAGACACGGUCCAGACUCGUACGGGAGGAAGCAGUAGAGAAUAUUGGACAAUGGACGGAAGUCUGAUGCAGCAACGCCGCGUGGAGGAUAGCAAAUUUAGGUGCGUGAACUCCUUUUAUAUGAGAAGAUAAUGACGGUAUUAUAUGAAUAAGCACAGGCUAACUCCGUGCCAGCCGCCGCCAUAC
rnacentral:rRNA from 1 species